rnacentral:miRNA from 1 species
GCAGACACAUUCCGGCCAAUCAGCAGCAGACCCUCCCUCCCAGACCCUCCCACCUCCUGGACAGCAUCCAUUUUACAUUCAUUGUGAAGCUGCAUUCUUAGUGAGCUGUCCAGAAGGUGGGAGGGUCUGGGAGGGAGGGUCUGCUGCUGAUUGGCUGGAAUGUGUCUG